rnacentral:pre_miRNA from 13 species
GCUCCUCUCAGGAAAGCUUUUUGCUCGAAUUAUGUUUCUCAUCCAAAUAUAAGACGAACAAAAGGUUUGUCUGAGGGCUG